rnacentral:rRNA from 1 species
CCUACGGGUGGCAGCAGUGAGGAAUAUUGGUCAAUGGGCGUAAGCCUGAACCAGCCAAGUCGCGUGAGGGAUGAAGGUUCUAUGGAUCGUAAACCUCUUUUAUAAGGGAAUAAAGGGUGGGACGUGUCCUAUUUUGUAUGUACCUUAUGAAUAAGGAUCGGCUAACUUCGUGCCAGCAGCCGCGGUAAUACGGAGGAUCCGAGCGUUAUCCGGAUUUAUUGGGUUUAAAGGGUGCGGAGGCGGCCUUUUAAGUCAGCGGUGAAAGUCUGUGGCUCAACCAUAGAAUUGAAGUUGAAACUGGGGGGCUUGAGUGUGUUUGAGGCAGGCGGAAUGCGUGGUGUAGCGGUGAAAUGCUUAGAUAUCACGCAGAACCCCGAUUGCGAAGGCAGCCUGCCAAGCCAUGACUGACGCUGAUGCACGAAAGCGUGGGGAUCAAACAGGACUAGAUACCCUUGUAGUC